GUGGAGCACCAUGGUAGAGAGUUGGUGGAGCAUCAUGAUAGAUAGUGGGAAGAGCAUCAUGGUGGAGAGUGGGUGGAGCAUCAUGAGGGAAUGUGGGUGGAGCAUCAUGGUAGGGAGAGUGGGUGGAGCACCAUGGUGGGAAGUGGGGGUGGAGCAUCAUGGAGAGUGUGGGAGGAGCAAAGCAGCUUGUAUUGUGAGAACUCCUUCCUUGGAGGGAAGGACCCCUCCUCACAGGGUUCCUAUGACAAACCGAAGUACAAUUCCAUCAAACUUGCCUCAAGAAGCCAAUGAGUUUAUUGGGCUUAGAAACAAGAGCAUGGUGCAGGGUUACUAGCAGGAUCAUGGAGGACCUUAAAGUAACUACAGUGUUCUCUUCACCCAGCAUGGAUGAUGGCUUCCCUAUGCCCACAUGGAUGGAGCCCUCUUCAGUGAACUCCCCUAGUCAUACACUCUAGCACCUUCCUUGACAUCAAAGCCAUAGGCAAUUGGCAGAAUCGCAUACAAAUGGCUGGGAGGAGCCACUGGAAACUCAGGUGUCAUGUGAGCAGCCACCUCAUGCUCCUGCCGCCAUACUCGACGCCAUGCUCUCCCUGUCAUGAUGGACUGGAUCCCCUCUCUUCCUUAAGUUGCUUUUUGUUGUAGCAAUAAGGAAAUGAACUCAUAUAGAUACAAAGUGUUCUCUGAGACAGUCCUGCAUUCAAGCCUUGGUCCCAAGUCUGUGGACUCAAUCUUUCUUCUUCUUCUUCUUCUUCUUCUUCUUCUUCUUCUUCUUCUUCUUCUUCUUCUUCUUCUUCUUCCUCU
rnacentral:lncRNA from 1 species